GCUGGGGCGUGGUGGCGCACGCCUGUAAUCCCAACACUUUGGGAGGCUGAGGCAGGAGGAUUGCUUGAGCCCAGGAGUUUGAAACUAGCCUGGGCAACAUAGUGAGACCCUGUCUCAA
rfam:Homo sapiens chromosome 2, GRCh38 reference primary assembly.